UACGAAGGGAGCUAGCGUUGUUCGGAAUUACUGGGCGUAAAGGGCGCGUAGGCGGUUUAGCAAGUUGGAUGUGAAAGCCCAGGGCUCAACCCUGGAGCUGCAUUCAAGACUGCUUUACUUGAAUUCGGUAGAGGUUGGUGGAAUUCCCAGUGUAGAGGUGAAAUUCGUAGAGAUUGGGAAGAACACCCGUGGCGAAGGCGGCCAACUGGACCGACAUUGACGCUGAGGCGCGAAAGCGUGGGGAUCAAACAGG
rnacentral:rRNA from 1 species